rnacentral:lncRNA from 1 species
CCUUUGUGCAGCAGCUUUCUUUUUAUAGGUUCAUGUAUGUAACCUACUUCCUUUCUUUUUCCACAAAUUGUUUGUUUCCCAAUUUCUCCACGUGACCUAUUAUUGUCACUCUUCAAUUUAGGCCCAAUUAGUUUUCUUAAUGCUAGUGACACCACCAUGCCAUGUAUUAUCAACUCAAAAAUAUAUGCCACUAUGAUAUGCUUCCUGGACUCACUUUUCCUCUUUUGUUUAAUUCACACCACAAAAAGUAAAACUUCCAAAUUAGGGUUCCUAAAAUCGUGUCACGAAAUAGCCAUCGUGACACGUUUUAAUCAAUGUCGAAUGAACCUCAUCUUGUGCUCCAAAUCGUGAUACGUUUUCAACAACCGUGGCACGAUUUUGCUUUCUUCAAAAUCUUCUAUUUUUCUUGCUUUUCUUGCUGCUUAAGCUUGCUUGUGAACUCAAAAAUAUCAUAAAAAGACUCUAAAAA